UACGAAGGGGACUAGCGUUGCUCGGAAUUACUGGGCGUAAAGGGAGCGUAGGCGGUCGAUCAAGUCAGAGGUGAAAGCCUGGAGCUUAACUCCAGAACUGCCUUUGAUACUGUUCGACUCGAGUUUGGGAGAGGUUAGUGGAAUACCGAGUGUAGAGGUGAAAUUCGUAGAUAUUCGGUGGAACACCAGUGGCGAAGGCGACUAACUGGACCAAUACUGACGCUGAGGCUCGAAAGCGUGGGGAUCAAACAGG
rnacentral:rRNA from 1 species